rnacentral:rRNA from 1 species
UACGUAGGGUGCAAGCGUUAUCCGGAAUUAUUGGGCGUAAAGAGCUCGUAGGCGGUUUGUCGCGUCUGCUGUGAAAACUGGAGGCUCAACCUCCAGCCUGCAGUGGGUACGGGCAAACUAGAGUGCGGUAGGGAGAUUGGAAUUCCUGGUGUAGCGGUGGAAUGCGCAGAUAUCAGGAGGAACACCGAUGGCGAAGGCAGAUCUCUGGGCCGUAACUGGACGCUGAGGAGCGAAAGCAUGGGAGCGAACAGG